AUCCUUUUCUGGUUCAUAAGCAUGAUGAUUGGAUUUUCACAUGCCUAUGUGAUAUGUGCCACCCUACAACCUUAUUACAUCGGCACAUGACCCUUCUGUCA